AAAACGGAAAUAGAAUGCUUUUUCUAGGCGUAAACCGGCGCACGGUUGAGUAACGCGUAUCCAACCUGCCCAUCACUUGGGGAUAACCUUGCGAAAGUAAGACUAAUACCCAAUGAUAUCUCUAGAAGACACCUGAAGGAGAUUAAAGAUUCAUCGGUGAUGGAUGGGGAUGCGUCUGAUUAGCUUGUUGGCGGGGUAACGGCCCACCAAGGCUACGAUCAGUAGGGGUUCUGAGAGGAAGGUCCCCCACAUUGGAACUGAGACACGGUCCAAACUCCUACGGGAGGCAGCAGUGAGGAAUAUUGGUCAAUGGACGAGAGUCUGAACCAGCCAAGUAGCGUGCAGGAUGACGGCCCUAUGGGUUGUAAACUGCUUUUAUAAGGGAAUAAAGUGAGCCUCGUGAGGCUUUUUGCAUGUACCUUAUGAAUAAGGACCGGCUAAUUCCGUGCCAGCAGCCGCGGUAAUACGGAAGGUCCGGGCGUUAUCCGGAUUUAUUGGGUUUAAAGGGAGCGUAGGCCGGAGAUUAAGCGUGUUGUGAAAUGUAGAUGCUCAACAUCUGCACUGCAGCGCGAACUGGUUUCCUUGAGUACGCACAAAGUGGGCGGAAUUCGUGGUGUAGCGGUGAAAUGCUUAGAUAUCACGAAGAACUCCGAUUGCGAAGGCAGCUCACUGGAGCGCAACUGACGCUGAAGCUCGAAAGUGCGGGUAUCGAACAGGAUUAGAUA
rnacentral:rRNA from 1 species